AGUGAACGCUGGCGGUAGGCCUAACACAUGCAAGUCGAACGGCAGCACAGUAAGAGCUUGCUCUUACGGGUGGCGAGUGGCGGACGGGUGAGGAAUACAUCGGAAUCUACUUUUUCGUGGGGGAUAACGUAGGGAAACUUACGCUAAUACCGCAUACGACCUACGGGUGAAAGCAGGGGAUCUUCGGACCUUGCGCGAUUGAAUGAGCCGAUGUCGGAUUAGCUAGUUGGCGGGGUAAAGGCCCACCAAGGCGACGAUCCGUAGCUGGUCUGAGAGGAUGAUCGGCCACACUGGAACUGAGACACGGUCCAGACUCCUACGGUAGGCAGCAGUGUGGAAUAUUGGACAAUGGGCGCAAGCCUGAUCCAGCCAGACCGCGUGGGUGAAGAAGGCCUUCGGGUUGUAAAGCCCUUUUGUUGGGAAAGAAAAGCAGCAGGUUAAUACCCCGCUGUUCUGACGGUACCCAAAGAAUAAGCACCGGCUAACUUCGUG
rnacentral:rRNA from 1 species